UUUACGUAAGGUCUGUGACCAAAAUGCGAGACGUGUUAAGAAGAUAAUGACAGACGUUACAUCAAAUAUUACGGUAAAAUAGAGAAUCAGUUUGUAGUUUGAAAUACUUGCAUCGAUACCAUGUUCUUUCCAAUCUUUAAGGUCUUGACAAACUUUUUUAGGUUGAUUGAGCAAUCCACUCUUCCCUCUCCAAUAGAUUUGUUUGUGCUUAGCUUGAACUGUUUCAUGAAAGAACAAGUGCACUUAUGAUAAACGUAUGGAACGGAUCGUACACACAGGAAUGAUACUUUCAGCAAUAACUGUUGAAACAACUUUCCAAGUCUGAAUCGUGCUUACCGUUUUAUGGAUUUUUUUAUCAUCAGGCUGUAAACCUUUCUUGUUAAAAUUAUCCUUCAGUGUUUUGUAGGUUUCGUGCACUGUUUGAUUAGUUUUGUAUCUUUUCUAACCGCAUGUAGAAGUUUCGUGUCGAAUUUUUGUGAAACUGAUUUGAUAUUUUGAAACUGAUAAA